AGUCCUGACAAAAAUUAGAGCUCUCUCUCUCUUCAUUUGCAGCUGUAGUUCACAAGUAAGUAAGAUUUUAGUAAGUAAGAUUUUUUUAAGUAAGACUAGUAAGAUUUUUGUAACUGGAGCUGAAGCUUCAGAAGUCAACAUGCAGCCUUCAAUUGUGUUUAUAUAUGUAUAUUUGCUUCAAGUUCUCCAGGUCCCGAUAGAAAAUAUGUGGCAGAGACAAGAUUCAGUUUCACAGGGUACUACUUAACUUUUAACCUCAACCCUGAACACACCUUUACCUCCUUCAGUCCCACAGUUUAACUGCUAUACACCUCCCAGUCUCUAUGAAUUUCUACUGGGGAAAUUUCUCCUACUGAAAGACCCUGUCAACUCAAAUGUCUCUCAAAAGCCAACUUGAAAUGACUGCAAUUGAAUGCAAGAAUAUUUUCAAAAUCAUAUUUAAGGUCCAGCAAGGCAAAAGGACUGCUCUUUUGAGGAAGAAGAUGCUAUUGCUCUAGUGAUGCAUUACCUAAAGCCAUGAGAAGGGGCAGACUGCUUGGUAUUAUCAUAUCUAUGCACCUGGUCUAAACAUGCCUAAUCUUAGCCCAAUUUCAGAGGACAACAAGCAAGAGGCAGAUUUUCCGAAGUGGAAUACCCCAUGUACACACCAAACACAUGCAGAAGUGUUGAGAUGUCUAAGAUGCAUAUCAAAUAAUGCUCAGUAUUGAGAAAACAACCUGUUCAUAAACUGAUGUCAGAAGAGCUAGAAUUAGAAAUUUCAGUCCAUGAAGAGACUGGGAAUUUCCACUUCUGCUAAAAUAAGACUGUUGCCUCUGUAACACUUGCCUACAUCCCUGAAAUGAACAUUAUUCUCCAUUUACCCAUGGUAAAGAAAACAGACUUCCUUUUUUUGGUUGCUUGUUCCAUUUAAUUGGGAAUACAGGACAUUAAAAAGAGGUAUUUUAUGUUCAUCAGAAUGAACCAGCAACUAACGAACCAAACAGCAGCACUUAAAGAUAACUAAAUUUUAAUUAAAUAUACCAUUCUUUUGUUUCAUACAUAGGGGUGAAUUCCAAAAGUCAUUUAUCAAUUGAAGAAAAAGAUAUCCUUAGUAAACUAACAACAUACUUUAUCUCUGCUCCAGCAUUUUCAAUCCCCAGACUUCAUUCAUAUAGUUAGAUGCCAGAAUACCUGUAGGUAUAAAUGUACAGGAAUUCACAGAACUAUUUAUUUUCCACUACUAUAAACAGUAAG